rnacentral:rRNA from 1 species
ACUCCUACGGGAGGCAGCAGUGGGGAAUAUUGCACAAUGGGCGCAAGCCUGAUGCAGCCAUGCCGCGUGUAUGAAGAAGGCCUUCGGUUGUAAAGUACUUUCAGCAGUGAGGAAGGUGGUGCAGUUAAUAGCUGUAUCAUUUGACGUUAGCUGCAGAAGAAGCACCGGCUAACUCCGUGCCAGCAGCCGCGGUAAUACGGAGGGGUGCGAGCGUUAAUCGGAAUUACUGGGGCGUAAAGCGCAUGCAGGUGGUUUGUUAAGUCAGAUGUGAAAGCCCGGGGCUCAACCUCGGAAUUGCAUUUGAAACUGGGCAGACUAGAGUACUGUAGAGGGGGUAGAAUUUCAGGUGUAGCGGUGAAAUGCGUAGAGAUCUGAAGGAAUACCGGUGGCGAAGGCGGCCCCCUGGACAGAUACUGACACUCAGAUGCGAAAGCGUGGGGAGCAAACAGGAUUAGAUACCCUGGUAGCACAGAG